UAUUUGUCGAUAUGUCAUACGGUAUUUGAAAAUAAGUGAAAAUAAGCCAAAAUCAAAAUUUAGAAUAUGACCUUGACCUUUGACCUUGACCUUAUUUUUCAUUUUUUUGGACCAAGGACCUCAAAUCUAAAGACCCUAGGUCUCUAUCACUUAUGGUUUACCAUUUAGAAAUGCAUAUCACUUAAUUAAAUGGAAAAGGGGGAAUAACUCUCAUAUGGAGUCUCCGUAUAGCUUCGGUCCAAAUGAAUAUCCUAAUCCUGAAGAUGUAACGAGCAAUUUGGUAAAAUAAAUUUGUCGUAAUCUUUUAACGGUUGCGAAGGAGUAGUGGCCACAAGAAAAACAGUGUUUGGGGAGAUAACUCUUACAACGUAAAGUAUUUUGUUACGCGGUUGUAAAUUUUUAAAGCGUAUAAACUAUACGAUAUCAUAUUCCAAAUAUCUAAGCGACAUCUUUUGAAACAUCAAUACUACGCAAGAAAAAAAUUAGGCGGAAGAAAAAAAAAAAAAAUAAUUAAAAACCAAUUGUUCAGAGAACAAUUGUAGGUCUUUCCACUAGUAAAGAUCUAUUUUGAUAUUGAAAUAUGAAAAAUCAGUUUAAAAUGUUAGUUCCU
rnacentral:lncRNA from 1 species